rnacentral:lncRNA from 1 species
AUAUGCUUUUGUGCUUAUUACAUGUGAAAUAGGUCUAUAAUAGUAUCAGGAUAAAAUUGGAAGAAAAGGACCUGAAGAAGACAAAGUUGCAGACCAUGUGGGUCACCACAUGAGUCAUCAACAUAUCAUAUAACUCGUAGGUUAACUUGUAAGCAUAAUAGAAACCAAAGACAAAAAGAAAAGUUAAGUACAGGAAAUAUACAAGUGGAGCAUAUGAGAUGUAAGAUAAGGAUACGUGUCAUGUAAAGAAACCAAAAAGAGAACAAAAUCUCAGGCUCCUAUUUAGAGUUUAAGUCUCAGAAGAAGA